UUAACUUAUUUUGGUGUGCAUUAGUCUGCAAAUCCAUAUUCACCAUCCUGUACGUGUGUUAAUCACUUGUAAAGCACUUUGAAUUGCAUUCGACUGUAUGAGAGGUGCUAUAUAAAUGAAGACUGAUUGAUUGAUUCAUUCAUUCAUUCAUUAGGCAAACUGACAAAGCAGGCCAGUUGUAGGCCAAGUCAGACAGGUGAUUGCUGGGAUGAAGGCCAAACGGAAAUAUAAUCAUAAAGGCGUUUUCCUCUCAGCUGCUGGUUGCUGUAUUUCAUCAUCAGAAAGGCAGAACCUUGUUUGAAACAGAAAGGUGUGUCACUUGAUUUUUCGUUGUAAGCAACCUCCGCAGGAGAUUAAACUGGCCACGACUUGAGGCCUGGUACAACAUUGAACACACUGCCAGGGAGCUGGAUCAGCCAAAUUCAUUCAGCUCGACCCACGUGACGCAGGAGAAAAUCAGGUGGGUCAGGUUGCAGUCAGAGAUCUUCAUGCAACAGUUGUGUCUGUGUCCUCACACUUGGUUGAAGAUGAACUUCCCCGAAAAAGAGACCCCAGUAAGACGGAUGAUUUAACGGAUGAUUCAAGAUGCAUCUCAAGACAGUCCAGUUUUGGCAUUUCCCACAGCUCAGAUCAAAAAACAUGAUGCUUUGAUCAUCAUAGAACCUCAAACCUGGGCUCGAUGUCCAGUUUGAGCUGAUCCAUCACCCAGGGGUCCUUUUCAGCCCCCUCGAUAAAUUCCUCCAAAGAAAUCUGACCUAGAAGAUUCAGAGGAGGAACAGAAUGAUGCACAAGUUCAAAUAUUCUGUUGCAGAUAUCGUCAACAUUCUCGGUGACACUCGGAUCUUUAUGCCUCUUUAACUUGGAGAUGAUCUGAAUGGACGGAGAAAAAAAAGACAAAAAGUUGAGGUUUGAAGUGGGCAGGGCUCUGUUGGGAAAAUGUGAUGUCAUGUUACUCCAUGCACCAAUCAGGAUUUAUAUAUUUUAAUCAAACUCUGUUAACAGUUGUGAGUUAUGUUAUAUUUUUUCUUCCUUCUUUUGUUUUUGUCUUCCUCCCUGUGUGCUGUGACACACUUUGGAUCAACUGUGUGUAAAGUGCUAUAUAAAUAAAGUUGAUUUGAUAGUUUAA